CAGUCGCCACGGUAAUACGUAGGGUGCGAGCGUUAAUCGGAAUUACUGGGCGUAAAGCGUGCGCAGGCGGUUAUAUAAGACAGAUGUGAAAUCCCCGGGCUCAACCUGGGACCUGCAUUUGUGACUGUAUAGUUAGAGUACGGUAGAGGGGGAUGGAAUUCCGCGUGUAGCAGUGAAAUGCGUAGAUAUCGGAAGGAACACCUGUGGCGAAAGCGGCUCACUGGACCAUAACUGACGCUCAUGCACGAAAGCGUGGGGAGCAAACAGGAUUAGAUACCCCUGUAGUCCCUGUCUCUUAUAC
rnacentral:rRNA from 1 species